GCGUGAGCGAUGAAGGCCUUAGGGUUGUAAAGCUCUUUCAGUGGGGAAGAUAAUGACGGUACCCACAGAAGAAGCCCCGGCUAACUCCGUGCCAGCAGCCGCGGUAAUACGGAGGGGGCUAGCGUUGUUCGGAAUUACUGGGCGUAAAGCGCACGUAGGCGGGCUAUCAAGUUGGGGGUGAAAUCCCGGGGCUCAACCCCGGAACUGCCUCCAAAACUGGUAGUCUUGAGGUCGAGAGAGGUGAGUGGAAUUCCGAGUGUAGAGGUGAAAUUCGU
rnacentral:rRNA from 1 species